rnacentral:rRNA from 1 species
UACGUAGGGGGCAAGCGUUGUCCGGAUUUAUUGGGCGUAAAGAGCGUGUAGGCGGCCAAGCAGGUCAGCUGUGAAAACUCGAGGCUCAACCUCGAGACGUCGGUUGAAACCGCUUGGCUAGAGUCCGGAAGAGGAGAGUGGAAUUCCCGGUGUAGCGGUGAAAUGCGCAGAUAUCGGGAAGAACACCCGUGGCGAAGGCGGCUCUCUGGGACGGUACUGACGCUGAGACGCGAAAGCGUGGGGAGCAAACAGG